ACCUUUCAACAGCGGAUCUCCUGGUUCUCGCAUUGAUAUAGACGCAGCGAAUCGCAAUACGUAAAUCAAUAUGAAAUAUUUGAAACAGAUUUAUUGAGACAUCAGCUGAUUUUUAGAAUUCACAAGCUACUUCAAUGAAUAAUGUUUUAAGUCUUGUGAUUUUGAGAAUCAUUAAAUUUUUGAAGGCACAUUUCGCUUUAUGGUAUCCCUCAAGGCAUGGAUCAAAUGGCUCCA
rnacentral:rRNA from 1 species